CGAGAAGGGCUCCAGAAGAAUGAGACAGUUCUUCACAGCAGCAUGAUGGCCCAUAUUAUGCAAUUAACACAGAGUGAACAGGAGUAUCAUAGAUUCUACUGCUUUCAGUAAACAAGAGGAGUGUUUGAAUUUUGAACCAGAUAUCCUUCAGUGAGACUUUUUCUCCUAAUUUUGAAUGCAAUUGUCCAGAAAUGUCCUUUGAUGGGGGAGGUGAGUGGUAUAUAGCAAGUCAUUAAUUAUUUAUGAAUUUAAGUCAAAUCUGGCAAAUAGCUCAAGCUGAAGGAAA